rnacentral:rRNA from 1 species
UAGGCUUCGGCCUGGAUGCACUUGCAGGCUAUGCCUGCCAACGAAACGAACUUGAGGGAAAAAACUAAGGGAAAUGUGGCCCACUUGUGGGUGUUAUAGUCCCUUAGAAAAUACCUUGGGUUGGAUUGAGGAACGCAGCGAAUGCUUUUUGGCGAGUUUUCCAGGAAGGUUUUCUGAGGUACUACGGUAUCAAGGUUGAUCUUUUUGGUUAUACUUCUAUUCGCUUAGGUUGUUGGCUUAAUGACUCUAAAUGACCCGUCUUGAAACACGGACCAAGGAGU